GCCAGGCGCGGUGGCGAGCUCCUGUAAUCCCAGCUACUGGGGAGGCUGAGGCAGGAGAAUUGCUUGAACCCGGGAGGCGGAGGUUGCAGUGAGCUGAGAUCUUGCCACUGCACUCUAGCCUGGGUGACAGAGCAAGACUCUGUCUCAG
rnacentral:SRP_RNA from 1 species